rnacentral:rRNA from 1 species
UGGCGGCGUGCUUAACACAUGCAAGUCGAGCGGUAAGGCCCUUCGGGGUACACGAGCGGCGAACGGGUGAGUAACACGUGAGCAACCUGCCCCUGACUCCGGGAUAAGCGGUGGAAACGCCGUCUAAUACCGGAUAUGACACACCAUCUCCUGGUGGUGUGUGGAAAGUUUUGUCGGUCAGGGAUGGGCUCGCGGCCUAUCAGCUAGUUGGUGGGGUAAAGGCCUACCAAGGCGAUUACGGGUAGCCGGCCUGAGAGGGCGACCGGCCACACUGGGACUGAGACACGGCCCAGACUCCUGCGGGAGGCAGCAGUGGGGAAUAUUGCACAAUGGGCGAAAGCCUGAUGCAGCGACGCCGCGUGGGGGAUGACGGCCUUCGGGUUGUAAACCUCUUUUACCACCAACGCAGGCCCCGGGUUCUCUCGGGGUUGACGGUAGGUGGGGAAUAAGGACCGGCUAACUACGUGCCAGCAGCCGCGGUAAUACGUAGGGUCCGAGCGUUGUCCGGAAUUAUUGGGCGUAAAGAGCUCGUAGGCGGCGUGUCGCGUCUGCUGUGAAAGACCGGGGCUUAACCCCGGUUCUGCAGUGGAUACGGGCAUG